CAGAGGAUGGUCACCCCUGGUGACAUUAUAAAACAGUGUCUGAACUCACCCAGCUGGGGAACAGGCAGAGAAACCCCAUGGCUUCACCAUCCUCAGUGCAAUGCUAUUCAUUAUCACCUGAAAAACUCUAGGAAUCUACAGGAUGGUCCAUGGAUGCCACACUCAGACCUCCUCAGUGGUGACCUUGGUAUAUUGAACCACAAGGCUGAUAGAAGACUGGUUGCGAUGAGGAGAUCAAAAGAGCUUAUAUAUGAGAAAGAAACGAUGCUGCUCACUGUGAAUACAAAACACAGUAGUGACAGCUGCCAGUGAAGUAGCGACACUGAGCCCGGAGUUCUGCUGAGGAUGUCCCAAAGCACCUCCCGAAAGCAGGCAGCAAGACAAGCCACAGCAAUCAAACCAGAUGUUUCCAGUUCUCAGCCAACGUCGCCUGGGGACCCUCCCAUUGAGAAUGUUACCUCCCCAGUAAGACGCACUAUGCGUGGGCUUUCCCAGCAUCUCGUCAGCCCUCCCCGCCCCAACCAAACCUAACUCAGACAUCAGGGUGAUCAACCAAGCAAUUCAAAGCAAAGAGCUUAUCCACUCUAUGAACUGAAACUUCUCUGCUUUGCCUACCUUGAGUUGGCUUCAGUUUGAGCCCUAAAAUACACGUAUACGUGUCAUUUCUAAUCAGGAAAAUUUCACCUGAUCAGAAAAAUGUAUAAGGGAUAAAGAGAAAGCCAUACUUUUUUACCAUUGCCCCUUUAUGUCAGCUUCCAAAUACAAAGGUUGUAUUAAAAUUAAAUUUUCCUCAUAAAUGAAGAUAAGCUCUUCCGCAUUCAGUAAGAUACUAAUUCCCAAUUCCCAAGUCGAUAGAAAUUGGCAGCCAUUUUUAAAGCAUGUAUAUGAAGAGAUUAAACUGUGAUAUAG
rnacentral:lncRNA from 1 species